rnacentral:rRNA from 1 species
UACGAGAGGCCCAAACGUUAUUCGGAUUUACUGGGCUUAAAGAGUUCGUAGGCGGCGCGGAAAGUGGGGUGUGAAAGCCCUCGGCUCAACCGAGGAACUGCGCUUCAAACUACCGUGCUUGAGGAAGCUAGAGGUGAGCGGAACUGAAGGUGGAGCGGUGAAAUGCGUUGAUAUCUUCAGGAACACCGGAGGCGAAGGCGGCUCACUGGGGCUUUUCUGACGCUGAGGAACGAAAGCCAGGGGAGCAAACGGG